rnacentral:rRNA from 1 species
GUCCACGCCGUAAACGAUGUCUAUUAGCUGUUGGGUAUAUUAAGAUACUUAGUGGCGCAGCUAACGCGAUAAAUAGACCGCCUGGGGAGUACGGCCGCAAGGUUAAAACUCAAAUGAAUUGACGGGGGCCCGCACAAGCGGUGGAGCAUGUGGUUUAAUUCGAUGCAACGCGAAGAACCUUACCAGGUCUUGACAUCCAGAGAACUUUCCAGAGAUGGAUUGGUGCCUUCGGGAACUCUGUGA